GCCGGGGCUUCUUCUACGGUUACCGUCAUUAUCUUCACCGUUGAAAGAGCUUUACAACCCUAGGGCCUUCAUCACUCACGCGGCAUGGCUGGAUCAGGCUUGCGCCCAUUGUCCAAUAUUCCCC
rnacentral:rRNA from 1 species